rnacentral:lncRNA from 1 species
UUUUUUAGGACAAAACCACAGAUUUUAGGGUCUGGUACUUUAGUCCAAAUGUUCAAAGAAGGUACCUGAUUCUAUUAAGUGAUCGUCUGAGAGAGUUUUUGAGAGUUGGAAAGUGGAGGAUUUAUGCUAAUUGUACCUGGGUUUCAACUCAAUUGUUAUGUUUUCUUGUAUAGCUUUUCCUUUCCUUGUUAACUGGUUUUAUGUCUGUUUAGAGAUGGAUGAAGUUUCUCUGAACACUGAGCCAG